rnacentral:lncRNA from 10 species
CGGGGGCGAGGGACGCGCGGGGCGGGUGCCGGCGUUAGAGCGAGAGGAAGUGGAAGGCGCCUCUUCGUUCUCUCUUCCGCGCUUCGCUGAGGGACUCACUCGCGCAUCACCCGCGGCUGCCGGUCGAGUGUCCCAGGCGCUCCGGGGCCGCGGUGACCCUCGCGGUGCGGACCGAGGAGGAAGCGCCGUGGGGGGCGGGGCGGCGCCGCACGAUCCGGCCUUCAGCUUCACGGACGUGGGCUGAGAACCCGCCCGCGCCGCGCUGAGCAGGGCCGAGGGAGCCGGCCAGGGCCCCAGAGGAGUCCGGAACGGAUUCCCGUCGCUACCGAGGUCUGCGCGUGUAAGGAGAGGACGUCGGAGAUUUGCCUCGAGGGGUGGGGUAUAGAUGACUGGAGAGAUGCAGAUGCUGUGGCUCAAAGGAUUAAUUAAUUUGCUUAAGAUAAUGCAACAUGAGAAAAGCAGAUCAGGACGGAAUUCCAGAACAAGGAUUUUGCUUGAAAUAACAUCACUACUAAUUGUCUCUCUGCACCUCCUGGCUCAUUUCUCUACUCCCACACCUUCCCUGCUGACCCUAGUCAAGGAGCUGUGAACAUACAAAUAGUGCCUGAUACACUAGGGCCUCGGCAUUGGCCAUGGGAGUGAGGGAGAAAAUCAUUUAAGAGGCUUUGUAGUCGAUUUCAACAAAGAAGGCAAUGCCAGUGAAGCAUCUUGCAGGAAUCCCUCCCUGACUGCUUCAGUCCACAGCGCUCUUACCUUUCUCUAUACACUUACAAUCUGUUUCAUUUACUUCCUAGCAGACCUUGCAGAAACCAUUAUUUCAUAUGAUACGUUUCCCCCAUAGAAUAUAAGCUCCUUAAGGGAAGAGAUUUUUGCUUGGUUUUAUAAUGCUGAAUUCCAAGUGCCUAGAAAGGGCCUGGCAGGUCGUAGGCACAAGAAGUAUUGGUUGGUUGAAUAUAUACUUCUUGCAACCCACAGAAACUGAUGUUGGUCUGGGCCAGGCCCUGCCCUGGCUUCCAGGGAUGCAGAAGUGAAUCGAAUAACUUCCUGCCCUCUGAACUUAUGGGGGAGACAUACAUACCUGCAUAUUCACAAGAGAUUUCAUCACAUGUAACCAAAGUAAAAAGGUGGCCACCAGAAGGGGGACUGGACCUGCUUGUUGGAAGGGUGCAAAUGGAAACUAGAGAGGUGAUUGUUCCAGACAUUCCCAGUGGGACAGGUGGCUGUGAGCCUGUGAUGAACUGAGAGACACCACUGAGUAAAAGUUAAGAGGACAGGCUCUGGAGCCCAACUGUCUGGGUUGAAUCUUUCUCUACCAAUUACUAGUUGUGUGAUGUCGUACCAGUGAUAUACUGUUGAGAUAAACGCAUAUUCCAAGACUCACUGCAGAGAUUCCAAACCAGCAAGUCUGGGCUGGCUAGGAAUCUGCUUCGUUGUUCCACAAACAUGUUAUUGUUUAUUGCAGAGGGUCUACAGACCAUGCCUUGAAAAGCUGUGGCCUUCAGGGAGGAAGGGUCAUGCUAACCAGCAAACUGGAAUGUCACACUGUGUGUCAUUGACAUUUUUCAGUGUGAAAUCACAAACUAUCAUUCAGGGUUAGACUUUAUACUACCCAGUAAGUGUCAUGGAGGAGGCUUCAGGACAGCUGGGGAAUUCAACAGGCCUGGUCUCUACCAGGUUAUCCCGGGACACUCCCCAGCAGCAGAUUUCAAGGCAUUCUGCCUUCACUUUAGGCCUAGGGUGAACCUGCAGGAGGCUCUCUGCAAAUAUUCAUUGAUCAACCGAUAGCUUUUCUAGCCAAGCACCAGCUGGCUAGCCUCAGUCCCAUGCAGAGGUUCUGGGAGGACUGCAGGAACCCCAGAGAGGGCUAGGGUGCAAUGAGGGUGCAAGAGGUGGUACCCAGCUCUGAUGUCUCCAUGUCUUGACUUGAGCUAGGACCUCAUACCCAGGACCCCAGAGAAGCCAGAUGGAAAUAAGGCCAUAGGAGAUGUGAGGGCUCAGAGCCUGCAAUCUCUGGACAAACUCCAUCUCUUUGAGCCUCAGAUGAAAUGCAAGGCCUGAGUGUUACAGGUCAUUCUCCGUUUGUUCAUUCCGUAAAUAUUUCAGCCUCUGUCAUGUGCCAGGCUGCGCUAGGGAGACCAUGGUGAGACAGGUCUCUGUACUCAGUGAGCUUAUACUCCAGAGAGGGAUCAGACAAUAAGGUAAUAUACAUUAAUUAAUAUCAGAAGGUAAUGAGAGGAAGACCGUAGUCCAGGAGCAGCUAUGGCUCAUGGCUGUAAUCCCAACACUUUGGGAGGCUGAAGCAGGUAGAUCGCUGAGUCCAGGAGUUUGAGACCAGCCUGGGCAAUAUGGUGAAACCCUAUCUCACACACACAUAAAAUUAGCCAGCAUGGUGGCACACUCCUUUAGUCCCAGCUACUCAGGAGGCUGAGGUGGGAGGACUGAUUGAGCCCGGGAGGUCAAGGCUACAGUGAGCCAUGAUCACAUCCCUGCAUUCCAGCUUGGGUGACAGAGUGAGACCCUAUCUCAAGAAAAAAAAAAAAGAGAGAGAUAGAGGAAGACCAUAAAAGGGUAACGGAGCUGGUCAUGGUGGCUCAUGUUUACAGUCCCAGCUACUUAUCCAACCCACGGCCCAUGGGCUGCAUGAAGCCCAGGACAGCUUUGAACAUGGCCCAACACAAAUUCAUAAACUUUCUUAAAAAUUAUGAGAUUUUUGCCAGGCACAGUGGCUCACGCCUGUAAUCCCAGCACUUUGGGAGGCUGAGGCAGGUGGAUCACCUGAGGUCAGGAGUUCGAGACCAGCCUGACCAGCAUGGUGAAAUCCCAUCUCUACUAAAAAUACAAAAUUAGCG